rnacentral:tRNA from 1 species
GGAGAGGUGGCAGAGUGGUCUAUCGCGUCGGUCUUGAAAACCGAAGUUCCGCAAGGAACCGUGGGUUCGAAUCCCACCCUCUCCGCCA